GGAGUUUGGGCCGUGUCUCAGUCCCAAUGUGGCCGGUCACCCUCUCAGGUCGGCUACUGAUCGUUGCCUUGGUGGGCCGUUACCCCGCCAACUAGCUAAUCAGACGCGGGUCCAUCUCAUACCACCGGAGUUUUUCACACGGUACCAUGCGAUACUGUGCGCUUAUGCGGUAUUAGCAGUCAUUUCUAACUGUUAUCCCCCUGUAUGAGGCAGGUUACCCACGCGUUACUCACCCGUCCGCCACUCAGUCACAAAUCAAUCACCCCGAAGGGAUCUAUCAAAGUGCUUCGUUCGACUUGCAUGUGUUAGGCACGCCGCCAGCGUUCAUC
rnacentral:rRNA from 1 species